UGGGAUGAUACACGUCUGAAGAAAGUCAUAGAAAUAUUCAGAGAAGAGGUUGAAAAUGGGAAUAGGCCCUUAGGUUAUUUUACUAAGAAGGGCUGGGACAAUGUUAUCGAGAAAUGGGAAGCAAGAAUGGGAAAGAAGUAUCCCAAGGAUAAAUUCAAGAAUAAAUGGGAUGCAAUAAAAAAUGACUAUGUGUUUUUCAUGGAGUUGAAAAAUGAAGCAACCGGGCUUGGAUGGGAUGAUGCAAAGAGAACCGUUGUUUGCCCUCAAGAAUGGUGGGAUGAACAUGUUGUGAGAUGCCAAGAGAGGACGGGAAAGAAAUGCAAUCAUUUG
rnacentral:rRNA from 1 species